AGACUUCAAAGAAAACCAGCAGAAUUAAGACUCAGUUCACAUUCACUGAUAAAGUGGAGAGUGAGUAAGUUUGGACCAUCAGUGUGUGAGUUCAGAGCAUCAGUCAUGAGGCAGUGUUUCUGCCUUUUCCUCUUUAUGCUGCACUUUACUGAAGGUAAGUCCACAUUUAUAAAUACUUUAAAGAAUUAAGAGUGAAAUUAAUCAGUCAUCAAUGGUUGUGAUUCUGUGAUAGUGCUGCUGAGUGAUUUAGUUCCCCAACACUGCACAUUUUGGAUAUCUCUCUUGUCUGACAAAAGCUUAAAAUACAGAAGAUCCAGCACACUGCUUGUCAUGCUCCCAAAGACAUUUAUUACCUUGCAACGUUUCAACCACAAGGUCCCUCAAUCAACAGUAAAGACAUUCAACUGGUAUCACACAACAGGAUGAAUUAAAGUUUUUAAAAAUGAAAUCUACAAGGGCAGACUGAAGCUGUUUAAUGAAAGAUCUCCAGCAAAUCUGUCUCUGCUCAUUUCUGACCUCAGAAAAAAGGAUGAAGGGUCAUAUAGGUGUGAGAUUUUAGGCACAAAUUAUACAGACAUUCGGGUAAAGAUAAAAGGGUGUGAUCUGGACCAGAAUAAACAGACGGUCGAGGUGACGGGACACUCGGGAGAGUCUGUAGGGGUUUUUUUUCUUCUCAAGCAUUUAUUAAGCCACACCAUCAUUAAAUUGGUGACUUGUCUGACAUUAUACUGAUUUAAUAUUUCACAGCAAUUUGGCUAAGAUUUGUUCAUUUCUAGGAAGGAGAGAUGUCAAAAAGAUGGCCAAUGAUGGACUUGUGCUAGUGUGUAAUGAAAAUGAGAAUCAGGCUGAUGUAAUUCCUGAUAACUUAACUCAAGGACAAAACUUAAAACAAGAUCAAAAUGAGGAUGAGGUGACGUACACUUCUGUUGUCCAUGUCAAGACUGCUGCCAAACCAGCUGACAAACAGACUGUCAUAGAGGAGCACUCUGAGUAUGCCAGCAUCAAAUGAAGUCAAAAUAUGCAACUUUCAUUUCAUUGCUUUUCAUAUUAUUGCAAACAGACUAAACUAUAAUAUACAGCAGGGGAGAGUCGGGCACAACCUAAUGCUUUUUGACUUUCUCAGUUUGUGUAAAUCUACUUGGGGUUCAGGGAAUUUCUUUUGUUCCACAUUAAUUUCACACGUCUGGUACAAUAUGUGGCUUUGUUUCGUUAAUACAGUGUAUACUUUUUUCUUUGUUUACCCCGAAAGAAGGGAAGUGAAAUGUGACAACAUGCCCCAUAGAUGGGCCAUGUUUUAACAUGACCAUAUGACAGCUAAAAAUGUUAUCGGACUUAGUUAACAAAGUAUACAUGACAAACUAAAAUAUUUUGUCAAUAAAAGACAAUAAUUUUUUUUUUCAUAUAAAAUAAUAGCAUUUUUUUAGAAAUUCAAAUUUAAAUAAUUUUGUAGUUUGACAAUGAACACUCUGUAAAGCUAUACAGCACUGGUCAAAACAAUACAGGCAAACAGAAGAAAAAAUAUAUCCAGACAUUCAGAAAAACACAGAGCUGAACAAAACACUCCCCUCCCUCCACUCACAGCUCUCACAGAACACGAGAUAAAUAGACGAGACAGUACAAAUGCUGAACAUUUCUUGAAAUAAUGUUUUCUGGAUGUUCAGGUUCUUCCUCUCAGUCUUUAUUCACCUUUUUUCCCGUUGUUUCUCAACAGAAAUUCAUAAAAGUUGAUUAUGCCAGUUAUAUCGUAACUGUAUAGAAUAUUAUAGCUCUAGUAGUGGGGAACAUUGUAACGCAGAACCCUAUCUGCGCAACUGGAAUAUAAACCUGGUUAGUGUCUUCUGAUAGUUAGUGAAGCAUUAAAGAACUACCCAAACUGCUAAACAACAGAUUGGAGAUUAAAAUAAUAUCAGAUUUGUCUAAUUGUAAAUAAAAACAAAAAAUAUAGAUGAAAAAUUAGCUUAAUAUGAAAAUUAUUGCUAUUGUUAAAUAAAUGUUCAGUGAUAUCUUCCAAAGAUAUAUGAAUUUUGGCGCACAUUUUUCUCUAUAUAUUGUCGAUAUGGCAACUAGUAAAUACGCUAAGUUUCUUCAUGCUAGCAUGUGUUUGUGCCCCACACUCCCCUCCAUAUAUAGCCUGUUAAAGUGCUAACUUAAAAAAAUUGUGGUUAGCUUCCUGUGCUUUCUAAAUGUAGAGAUAAAGCUAGCUUGUUCUCUCCUAUAGAAGAGCUGUGAAAUGGCAUACUUCUCUCUGUUCGUCUUGCUUGGAGCCUGUAUUUGAAAUUCAGUGUUUCUGUUGUGCAUUCAAAAUGUCCAUUUACAGAACAAAUAACUGCAGAAUCUUUUUAAUAAAAUUUGAGUGAUUGAA